rnacentral:rRNA from 1 species
CGCUGGCGGCGUGCCUAGCACAUGGCAAGUCGAGCGGGGACAUAGUGACGGAACGGAAGUUUCGGAUGGAAGGGAAGAUGAUGUGUUCUAGCGGCGGACGGGUGAGUAACGCGUGAGCAACCUGUCCUUCACAGGGGGAUAACACAGCGAAAGUUGUACUAAUACCGCAUGAGACCACGGCGGGACAUCCCGCAGGGGGUCAAAGGAGCAAUCCGGUGAAGGGUGGGCUCGCGUCCGAUUAGAUAGUUGGUGAGGUAACGGCCCACCAAGUCGACGAUCGGUAGCCGACCUGAGAGGGUGAUCGGCCACAUUGGGACUGAGACACGGCCCAAACUCCUACGGGAGGCAGCAGUGGGGAAUAUUGGGCAAUGGGGGGAACCCUGACCCAGCAACGCCGCGUGAGGGAAGAAGGUUUUCGGAUCGUAAACCUCUGUCCUUGGUGAAGAGUGAGAGACGGUAGCCAAGGAGGAAGCCCCGGCUAACUACGUGCCAGCAGCCGC